UACAGAGGGGGCAAGCGUUAUUCGGAAUUAUUGGGCGUAAAGGGCGCGUAGGCGGCUUGGCAAGUGGAAGGUGAAAUCCCUCGGCUUAACCGAGGAACUGCCCUCCAAACUGCUUAGCUUGAGGCCGGGAGAGGUGAGUGGAAUUCCCAGUGUAGCGGUGAAAUGCGUAGAUAUUGGGAGGAACACCAGUGGCGAAGGCGGCUCACUGGACCGGUUCUGACGCUGAGGCGCGAAAGCGUGGGGAGCAAACGGG
rnacentral:rRNA from 1 species